rfam:Aedes aegypti strain Liverpool supercont1.308 genomic scaffold, whole genome shotgun sequence.
CGCUCGGUAGCUUAGUUGGUAAAGCGCUCGUCUAGCAUACAAGAGUCCUGGGUUCAAAUCCCAGCCGAGCAC